rnacentral:tRNA from 1 species
GCCGGCAUAGCUCAGUUGGUUUAAGAGCGGCUGAUUUGUAAUCAGCAGGUCGUCGGUUCGAAUCCGACUGCCGGCUCCC